UCGAAACCUGCACAGCAGAACGACCCGCGAAUUGGUGACAACCGACGGGGGGCGCUCGUCGCCCCCUCGCCCCCCACGCAGGCGGGGACCUCGCGUCUCUUGCCUGCAAACCGAACCCCGGCGCGGAACGCGCCAAGGAAAUCGAACCAAGAGAGCCGCGCCGGAGGCCCCGGACACGGUGCGCCCCCGGCGUCGGCGUCUUACGAAUUAUUU
rnacentral:misc_RNA from 1 species